rnacentral:rRNA from 1 species
UACAGAGGGGGCAAGCGUUGUUCGGAAUUACUGGGCGUAAAGGGCGCGUAGGCGGCCUUUCUAAGUCGAACGUGAAAUCCCCGGGCUCAACCCGGGAACUGCCCUCCCAAACUGCUUGGCUUGAGACCAGGAGAGGUGAGUGGAAUUCCCAGUGUAGCGGUGAAAUGCGUAGAUAUUGGGGAGGAACACCAGUGGCGAAGGCGGCUCACUGGACUGGUACUGACGCUGAGGCGCGAAAGCGUGGGGAGCAAACGGG